rnacentral:misc_RNA from 1 species
CGCCUCGAAGUCAAAAGAGAAAGAAAAUUGUGAGAAAAGAGAAAAGAUGGUGGAUCUGUCCACCAAACAUAUUAAAAACGAUUCCUUCGCGGAACUCAUAAGAAAUGGACCAUUAUGGAGAAUAAAAUAGAAGUACAAUUGAAGGGCCUCUAUGGCACUAACCUUGAUUCUCUUGAUGCUGAACUACAGAGCUAGAUUCAAUCUGA